GUCCUAAAUAUUCAAGUUAUAUGUACCGCACGCACGGAAACGCACAGUGGAGUCUUGGUGUUCGUCUGAUGACAGAUAGCUAUACUUGAGUCUUCGACAUAAUCAUUCUUGAUCGUUGAGUUUCAGCAAUGUAAAUGAAAGGAAUUUUACAGUCCAUAACGAGUUUUAAUUAAUCCUGUGCUUUCACAGUCAAGAUAGCACUAUUGUUUACACACAGUUAGCGAUGUUUGGGAAAUCUUCCAUUAUAAAAUAAAUCCUUUGGCUUUGUUGAAUAUCGGACAGGAUACACUUCGACCAUAAACAACCAUAUCGUUCAUUUAGUAUCGUUUGAUCGAUGAGUCGGUAUAGAAUUGGGAAGACAUAUAUGUUUCUACGGCGAUGCGUGCUCAACUUCGCAAGCCAGGCGCGUGUGGAGUCCUUGGAAGUGAAAUAUGAUCCAGUUUCUUGCUUGAAAUGUACCGCAACACUUAUAACUGAUGACAUUCAGUUUAGCAGGAAGUUGUGUCAUGAUGAAUACGAAUUUAAAACUGUUCCUUUCACAAUUUCUUGUUGCAAAUUACAUUUUUAUCACCCGAAACUAUAACACAUAAAAUUGCAAUUUUCCAAACGCAACAAACAGACUCUUCUACCACCCCUCCCUGAGAUCAAUUCAAUUUACCACGCAGAAUCUGCGGGGUCACGUGACCAGCCCCGACCAGGGCCUUUGCUUCCCAAGAGCAAAGAGCCUGGGAACGAGGUUGA